UUGGAGAUCCAUAUCUCGGCUUCUAUGGGCCCUAUCGGGAAAAUUCCAACGGUUUUGACUUAGUUUCGUCCUUCUGAAUCCAACGGGACCUUUCGCAAGGUCGUAGCUCCCAUAUUAGCUGAGAUCUCGCAUUUUUGUGGCCCAUUUUUGGGCUCAAAAACGGGGUCGAAAAUUGACUUUUUUUCGAAUUUUCAAAGUGCUAUAAUUCCACUUGUUCUGGUCGAAUUCCGGUAUAACCCGGUGUUUUCGUAAUGUAGGUGAUGGGAAUAAGCCGCUGAUAGGGGUUUCUAUAGCUAUUUUCGGGUUUAAAGAAAAUCGAUUUUUCGCAUUUUCAAAGUGCUAUAAUUCCCUUAGUUUUUCUCGAAACUCAUUAUAACCCGGUGUUUUCGUGUUGUAGGUGAUGGGAACAAGCCGAUGGAAUAGUUAGUUCAAAUUCGAAAAAAAUCAAUUUUUGGUGAAAAAUUCGAUACGGGGGGGUAUACCCAAAAAAUGAAAAAUCUCAAACUUUGGAGGUCCAUAUCUCGGCUUCUAUGGGCCCUAUCGGGAAAAUUCCAACGGUUUUGACUUAGUUUCGUCCUUCUGAAUCCAACGAGACCAUCCGCAAGGUCGUAGCUCUUAUAUUAGCUGAGAUCUCGCAUUUUUGUGGCCCAUAUUUGGGCUCAAAAACGGGGUCGAAAAUUGACUUUUUUUCGAAUUUUCAAAGUGCUAUAAUUCCACUUGUUCUGGUCGAAUUCCGGUAUAACCCGGUGUUUUCGUAAUGUAGGUGACGGGAAUAAGCCGCUGAUAGGGGUUUCUUUAGCUAUUUUCGGGUUUAAAGGAAAUCGAUUUUUCGCAUUUUCAAAGUGCUAUAAUUCCCUUAGUUUUUCUCGAAACUCAUUAUAACCCGGUGUUUUCGUGUUGUAGGUGAUGGGAACAAGCCGCUGGGAUAGUUAGUUCAAAUUCGAAAAAAAUCGAUUUUUGGUGAAAAAUUCGAUACGGGGGGGUAUACCCUAAAAAUGAAAAAUCUCAAACUUUGGAGGUCCAUAUCUCGGCUUCUAUGGGCCCUAUCGGGAAAAUUCCAACAGUUUUGACUUAGUUUCGUCCUUCUGAAUCCAACGAGACCAUCCGCAAGGUCGUAGCUCUUAUAUUAGCUGAGAUCUCGCAUUUUUGUGGCCCAUUUUUGGGCUCAAAAACGGGGUCGAAAAUUGACUUUUUUUCGAAUUUUCAAAGUGCUAUAAUUCCACUUGUUCUGGUCGAAUUCCGUUAUAAUCCGGGGAAAAUUCCAACGGUUUUGACUUAGUUCGAGGCAAUAUGUCCCUAAAGACACGAGGGUGAAUGAAAUUAUAUUCGGGUAGAUAUAAUAAGUUUUUCUAGGCUGAAGUGUAUUCGGGUAUAAGGAUGAUCCCGAAGGGUGGCAAUAAAGGUAUUUUUAAUAACUACCAAACGCAUUUCAUAAAUAUUAAUAUGUUAGGCCACUGGAUAGACCCUGCCCCAUAUUAGCAUAUUUUGCAAAUUUUAAAACAAUUUAAUAUAAGAAUAAAAUGAAAUGUUUAGGAUUG